CAGCAGCCGCGGUAAGACAGAGGAUGCAAGCGUUAUCCGGAAUGAUUGGGCGUAAAGCGUCUGUAGGUGGCUUUUCAAGUCCGCCGUCAAAUCCCAGGGCUCAACCCUGGACAGGCGGUGGAAACUACCAAGCUGGAGUACGGUAGGGGCAGAGGGAAUUUCCAGUGGAGCGGUGAAAUGCGUUGAGAUCGAAAAGAACACCAACAGCGAAAGCACUCUGCUGGGACGACACUGACACUAAGAGACGAAAGCUAGGGGAGCAAAUGGGAUUAGAGACCCCUGUAGUCCCUGUCUCUUAUAC
rnacentral:rRNA from 1 species